rnacentral:rRNA from 1 species
GUAGAUGAUUUAUAUUACUUGUAAUAUAAAUUUUGAAACUUUAGUGAGUAGGAAGGUACAAUGGUAUGCGUAGAAGUGUUUGGCGUAAGCCUGCAUGGAGCUGCUAUUGGUACAGAUCUUGGUGGUAGUAGCAAAUAAUCGAAUGAGACCUUGGAGGACUGAAGUGGAGAAGGGUUUCGUGUGAACAGUGGUUGAUCACGAGUUAGUCGGUCCUAAGUUCAAGGCGAAAGCCGAAAAUUUUCAAGUAAAAAUAAAAUUUACUAUAUGUAAAAAUUAUAUACUUGAAUAAUUUUGAACGAAAGGGAAUACGGUUCCAAUUCCGUAACCUGUUGAGUAUCCGUUUGUUAUUAAAUAUGGGCCUCGUGCUCAUCCUGGCAACAGGAACGACCAUAAAGAAGCCGUCGAGAGAUAUCGGAAGAGUUUUCUUUUCUGUUUUAUAGUCGUACUACCAUGGAAGUCUUUCGCAGAGAGAUAUGGUAGAUGGGCUAGAAGAGCAUGACAUAUACUGUUGUGUCGAUAUUUUCUCCUCGGACCUUGAAAAUUUAUGGUGGGGAUACGCAAACUUCUCAACAGGCCGUACCAAUAUCCGCAGCUGGUCUCCAAGGUGAAGAGUCUCUAGUCGAUAGAAUAAUGUAGGUAAGGGAAGUCGGCAAAUUAGAUCCGUAACUUCGGGAUAAGGAUUGGCUCUGAAGAUUGAGAUAGUCGGGCUUGAUUGGGAAACAAUAAUAUGGUUUAUGUGCUCGUUCUGGGUAAAUAGAGUUUCGAUCAUUUAUGGUUGUAACUUGUUCCCCGGAUAGUUAGUUACGUAUCCAAUUGUGGAACUUUCUUGCUAAAAUUUUUAAGAAUACUAGUUGGGUCAAACCAAUUAGUUCUUAUUAAUUAUAACGAUUAUCAAUUAACAAUCAAUUCAGAACUGGCACGGACUUGGGGAAUCCGACUGUCUAAUUAAAACAAAGCAUUGUGAUGGCCCUAGCGGGUGUUGACACAAUGUGAUUUCUGCCCAGUGCUCUGAAUGUCAAAGUGAAGAAAUUCAAGUAAGCGCGGGUCAACGGCGGGAGUAACUAUGACUCUCUUAAGGUAGCCAAAUGCCUCGUCAUCUAAUUAGUGACGCGCAUGAAUGGAUUAACGAGAUUCCUACUGUCCCUAUCUACUAUCUAGCGAAACCACAGCCAAGGGAACGGGCUUGGAAUAAUUAGCGGGGAAAGAAGACCCUUUUGAGCUUGACUCUAAUCUGGCAGUGUAAGGAGACAUAAGAGGUGUAGAAUAAGUGGGAGAUAUUAGACUUCGGUUUGGUAUCGCCAAUGAAAUACCACUACUCUUAUUGUUUCCUUACUUACUUGAUUAAAUGGAACGUGUAUCAUUUCCUAGCCAUUAUACGGAUAUAUUUAUUAUAUCUUAUGGUAUUGGGUUUUGAUGCAAGCUUCUUGAUCAAAGUAUCACGAGUUUGUUAUAUAAUCGCAAACAAAUUCUUUAAUGAGAGAUGCAUUUACUGUAUUAUUGAUUUGAAAAUUUGGUAUAACUCCAAUUACUCAGGUAUGAUCCAAUUCAAGGACAUUGCCAGGUAGGGAGUUUGACUGGGGCGGUACAUCUCUCAAAUAAUAACGGAGGUGUCCCAAGGCCAGCUCAGUGCGGACAGAAACCACACAUAGAGCAAAAGGGCAAAUGCUGACUUGAUCUCGGUGUUCAGUACACACAGGGACAGCAAAAGCUCGGCCUAUCGAUCCUUUUGGUUUAAAGAGUUUUUAACAAGAGGUGUCAGAAAAGUUACCAUAGGGAUAACUGGCUUGUGGCGGCCAAGCGUUCAUAGCGACGUCGCUUUUUGAUCCUUCGAUGUCGGCUCUUCCUAUCAUUGUGAAGCAAAAUUCACCAAGCGUUGGAUUGUUCACCCAUGCAAGGGAACGUGAGCUGGGUUUAGACCGUCGUGAGACAGGUUAGUUUUACCCUACUAAUGACAAAACGUUGUUGCGACAGCAUUCCUGCGUAGUACGAGAGGAACCGCAGGUACGGACCAAUGGCACAAUACUUGUUCGAGCGAACAGUGGUAUGACGCUACGUCCGUUGGAUUAUGCCUGAACGCCUCUAAGGUCGUAUCCGUGCUGGACUGCAAUGAUAAAUAAGGGGCAAUUUGCAUUGUAUGGCUUCUAAACCAUUUAAAGUUUAUUAUUUAUAUUUUAAACGACAAUGGAUGUGAUGCCAAUGUAAUUUGU